AGCGUAGACGGUGUGGCAAGUCUGAUGUGAAAGGCAUGGGCUCAACCUGUGGACUGCAUUGGAAACUGUCAUACUUGAGUGCCGGAGGGGUAAGCGGAAUUCCUAGUGUAGCGGUGAAAUGCGUAGAUAUCGGGAAGAACACCAAUGGCGAAGGCAGGUCUCUGGGCCGUUACUGACGCUGAGGAGCGAAAGCGUGGGAGCGAACA
rnacentral:rRNA from 1 species